GUCCUUGUAGUGCCGUGGAUAGUGCGUUGAACAACUAAUUCAACGGUCGAGGCUUCAAAUCCCACCUAGGAUG